ACUUAAAUUGAAGAGUUUGAUCAUGGCUCAGAUUGAACGCUGGCGGCAGGCCUAACACAUGCAAGUCGAGCGGUAGCACAGAGAGCUUGCUCUCGGGUGACGAGCGGCGGACGGGUGAGUAAUGUCUGGGAAACUGCCUGAUGGAGGGGGAUAACUACUGGAAACGGUAGCUAAUACCGCAUAAUGCCGCAAGACCAAAGUGGGGGACCUUCGGGCCUCAUGCCAUCAGAUGUGCCCAGAUGGGAUUAGCUAGUAGGUGGGGUAAUGGCUCACCUAGGCGACGAUCCCUAGCUGGUCUGAGAGGAUGACCAGCCACACUGGAACUGAGACACGGUCCAGACUCCUACGGGAGGCAGCAGUGGGGAAUAUUGCACAAUGGGCGCAAGCCUGAUGCAGCCAUGCCGCGUGUGUGAAGAAGGCCUUCGGGUUGUAAAGCACUUUCAGCGGGGAGGAAGGCGUUAAGGUUAAUAACCUUGGCGAUUGACGUUACCCGCAGAAGAAGCACCGGCUAACUCCGUGCCAGCAGCCGCGGUAAUACGGAGGGUGCAAGCGUUAAUCGGAAUUACUGGGCGUAAAGCGCACGCAGGCGGUCUGUCAAGUCGGAUGUGAAAUCCCCGGGCUCAACCUGGGAACUGCAUUCGAAACUGGCAGGCUAGAGUCUUGUAGAGGGGGGUAGAAUUCCAGGUGUAGCGGUGAAAUGCGUAGAGAUCUGGAGGAAUACCGGUGGCGAAGGCGGCCCCCUGGACAAAGACUGACGCUCAGGUGCGAAAGCGUGGGGAGCAAACAGGAUUAGAUACCCUGGUAGUCCACGCCGUAAACGAUGUCGAUUUGGAGGUUGUGCCCUUGAGGCGUGGCUUCCGGAGCUAACGCGUUAAAUCGACCGCCUGGGGAGUACGGCCGCAAGGUUAAAACUCAAAUGAAUUGACGGGGGCCCGCACAAGCGGUGGAGCAUGUGGUUUAAUUCGAUGCAACGCGAAGAACCUUACCUGGUCUUGACAUCCACAGAACUUAGCAGAGAUGCUUUGGUGCCUUCGGGAACUGUGAGACAGGUGCUGCAUGGCUGUCGUCAGCUCGUGUUGUGAAAUGUUGGGUUAAGUCCCGCAACGAGCGCAACCCUUAUCCUUUGUUGCCAGCGGUUAGGCCGGGAACUCAAAGGAGACUGCCAGUGAUAAACUGGAGGAAGGUGGGGAUGACGUCAAGUCAUCAUGGCCCUUACGACCAGGGCUACACACGUGCUACAAUGGCAUAUACAAAGAGAAGCGACCUCGCGAGAGCAAGCGGACCUCAUAAAGUAUGUCGUAGUCCGGAUUGGAGUCUGCAACUCGACUCCAUGAAGUCGGAAUCGCUAGUAAUCGUAGAUCAGAAUGCUACGGUGAAUACGUUCCCGGGCCUUGUACACACCGCCCGUCACACCAUGGGAGUGGGUUGCAAAAGAAGUAGGUAGCUUAACCUUCGGGAGGGCGCUUACCACUUUGUGAUUCAUGACUGGGGUGAAGUCGUAACAAGGUAACCGUAGGGGAACCUGCGGUUGGAUCACCUCCUUACCUUAAAGAA
rnacentral:rRNA from 1 species